ACCCUCUUUCUUUUUUCACCUUCGUAGAUGUUUCACCACCGCAUCCACGGUAGCACAGUCUCCUCGCAACGACCGUGCCAGCGUAACGCCAAGACCCACAACGUAAUGGCACUCCACUAAGAAGAAAAAAAAAGACAUUUUUUGUUCGUAUCCAGAGCUGUUCUGUUUCGCACCGUCCAGCUUGUCGAAGGGCACGGCACGACGCGGCACGACGUUUCACGAGAUGACGGUGGCCCUGUCCUCUCGUCAUCACAUUGCUACUGGGCCGGGAGGCGCUAACCGGAAAAACGCAAGCUGGGACACCCCCAUGGGAAAAGGCUCGCAUCUAUGAAGAAGGCAAAGAGCCGUUCUCAUUAACUCCGAACCCGUCAAGCACCCUUCAUCGUCGCCGCCAACGCAGCAUCCCAGCUCCCGGAUGGGCCACCGACCUGUCACCGCCAGGGCUUCGUAGCGUCGGUUGGCGUACUGCUCGUCGGCUCCGAACUGGUACGGCGCCGCCAAAGCGGGAACCAACCUCCGGUUCGUGCCAAGAUCCAAAUAGAAGCAUAAAGGAAAAGCAGGAGCAGAGCAAGACAGCGCCAGUGGUGGAGGCGAUGCCGGCUCAGUGGGGAGGAAGGGCGAGCCAUGGAGCCGCAUUUGAAAUGCGAAUUUUCUCCGGGACGCUCCGGCCAACCGAGCGAGACAGACCAACCGAGAGAGGCCGCUACGGCCG